rnacentral:rRNA from 1 species
AUUGAACGCUAGCGGGAUGCCUUACACAUGCAAGUCGAACGGAGUGGCGAACGGGUGAGUAAUGUAUCGGAACGUGCCCAGUAGCGGGGGAUAACUACGCGAAAGCGUAGCUAAUACCGCAUACUAUUGGCUCGGCCGAUAUCGGAUUAGCUAGUUGGUGGGGUAACGGCUCACCAAGGCGACGAUCCGUAGCUGGUUUGAGAAGACGACCAGCAACAAUGGGACAGAGAAACGGCCCGAAGGCCUACGAGAGGGAGCAGGGGGGAAUGUGGAGAAAUGGGGGAAACCCUGAUCCAGCCAGGCCGCGUGUGCGAUGAAGGACUUCGGGUUGUAAGGGAAUUUUGGCAGGAAAGCGGGACGUGCAGAAUAAGCACCGGCUAACUACGUGCCAGCAGCCGCGGUAAUUC